CUAUGUGACAUUUGUCCGUGCUAUUACCAGUACCGAUGGAUAAUUUCUUUUAGUUGGAGGUGGCGAAGGAAGUAACCCUUAAAUAAAUUAAGGGGGGGACAACACAUUAAGAUGCAUUUUUAUGAUUCUUAUUAUGAAGAGGUGUUUGCUAAAAGAUGUGAUUUUGUAAUCUAAGGAUGGCAUAUAUUCCAAACUUGGAUAUUAAGAAAAAUAAUUAUUAAUGUGGCUUGAAUUUUGGAUAUUUUUUAUGAGCUCAAAUUAUGAUCCGACCUGAAAAGCCCGUGUUG
rnacentral:lncRNA from 1 species